CCUACGGGGGGCAGCAGUGGGGGAUAUUGCACAAUGGGGGGAACCCUGAUGCAGCGACGCCGCGGGGGUGAAGAAGCGCCUCGGCGCGUAAGGCCCUGUCAGCAGGGAGGAAAAUGACGGUACCUGAAGAGGAAGCCCCGGCUAACUACGUGCCAGCAGCCGCGGUAAUCCGUAGGGGGCAAGCUUUAUCCGGAUUUCCGGGGUGUAAAGGGGGCGCAGACGGCGAUGCAAGCCAGGAGUGAAAGCCCGGGGCCCAACCCCGGGACUGCUCUUGGAACUGCGUGGCUGGAGUGCAGGAGGGGCAGGCGGAAUUCCUGGUGUAGCGGUGAAAUGCGUAGAUAUCAGGAGGAACACCGGUGGCGAAGGCGGCCUGCUGGACUGCAACUGACGUUGAGGCCCGAAAGCGUGGGGAGCAAACAGGAUUAGAUACCCUGGUAGUC
rnacentral:rRNA from 1 species